AUACGAAGGGUGCAAGCGUUACUCGGAAUUACUGGGCGUAAAGCGUGCGUAGGUGGUUCGUUAAGUCUGAUGUGAAAGCCCUGGGCUCAACCUGGGAAUUGCAUUGGAUACUGGCGGGCUAGAGUACGGUAGAGGGUGGCGGAAUUCCUGGUGUAGCAGUGAAAUGCGUAGAGAUCAGGAGGAACACCCGUGGCGAAGGCGGCCACCUGGACCAGUACUGACACUGAGGCACGAAAGCGUGGGGAGCAAACAGGAUUAGAUACCCUGGUAGUCCACGCCCUAAACGAUGCGAACUGGAUGUUGGGUUCAACUAGGAACUCAGUAUCGAAGCUAACGCGUUAAGUUCGCCGCCUGGGGAGUACGGUCGCAAGACUGAA
rnacentral:rRNA from 1 species